GAUGAAGACGUAGCGAAAUGCGAUAAGUAGUGUGAAUUGCAGAAUUCAGUGAAUCAUCGAAUCUUUGAACGCACAUUGCGCCCCUUGGUAUUCCAUGGGGCAUGCCUGUUCGAGCGUCAUUUACACCCUCAAGCUCUGCUUGGUGUUGGGCGUCUGUCCCGCUGCUUUGCGCGGACUCGCCUCAAAGGUAUUGGCAGCGAUCAUGCCAGCUUCUCGCGCAGCACAUUGCGCUUCUUGAAGUUCUGGUGGAUCAGCGUCCAUUAAGCUUACCUUCAUGACUUGACCUCGGAUCAGGUAGGGAUACCCGCUGAACUUAAGCAUAUCAAUAAGCGGAGGA
rnacentral:misc_RNA from 1 species